rnacentral:rRNA from 1 species
AGUUUGAUCCUGGCUCAGGAUGAACGCUGGCGGCGUGCUUAACACAUGCAAGUCGAACGAACCUUCGGGUUAGUGGCGGACGGGUGAGUAACGCGUGAGAAUCUGCCCUCAGGAGGGGGAUAACGGCUGGAAACGGCCGCUAAUACCCCAUAUGCCGCGAGGUGAAAUGAAUUUCGCCUGAGGAUGAGCUCGCGUCUGAUUAGCUAGUUGGUGGGGUAAAGGCCUACCAAGGCAUCGAUCAGUAGCUGGUCUGAGAGGAUGAUCAGCCACACUGGGACUGAGACACGGCCCAGACUCCUACGGGAGGCAGCAGUGGGGAAUUUUCCGCAACGGGCGAAAGCCUGACGGAGCAACGCCGCGUGAGGGAUGAAGGCCUCUGGGCUGUAAACCUCUUUUAUCAAGGAAGAAGAUCUGACGGUACUUGAUGAAUAAGCCACGGCUAAUUCCGUGCCAGCAGCCGCGGUAAUACGGGAGUGGCAAGCGUUAUCCGGAAUUAUUGGGCGUAAAGCGUCCGCAGGCGGUCUUGUAAGUCUGUUGUUAAAGCGUGGAGCUUAACUCCAUUUCAGCAAUGGAAACUGUAAGACUAGAGUGUGGUAGGGGCAGAGGGAAUUCCCGGUGUAGCGGUGAAAUGCGUAGAUAUCGGGAAGAACACCAGUGGCGAAGGCGCUCUGCUGGGCCAUAACUGACGCUCAUGGACGAAAGCCAGGGGAGCGAAAGGGAUUAGAUACCCCUGUAGUCCUGGCCGUAAACGAUGAACACUAGGUGUCGGGGGAAUCGACCCCCUCGGUGUCGUAGCCAACGCGUUAAGUGUUCCGCCUGGGGAGUACGCACGCAAGUGUGAAACUCAAAGGAAUUGACGGGGGCCCGCACAAGCGGUGGAGUAUGUGGUUUAAUUCGAUGCAACGCGAAGAACCUUACCAGGGUUUGACAUCCUGCGAAUCUUUUGGAAACGAGAGAGUGCCUUCGGGAACGCAGUGACAGGUGGUGCAUGGCUGUCGUCAGCUCGUGUCGUGAGAUGUUGGGUUAAGUCCCGCAACGAGCGCAACCCACGUCGUUAGUUGCCAGCAUUUAGUUGGGCACUCUAGCGAGACCGCCGGUGAUAAACCGGAGGAAGGUGUGGAUGACGUCAAGUCAUCAUGCCCCUUACAUCCUGGGCUACACACGUACUACAAUGCUACGGACAAAGGGCAGCAAACUCGCGAGAGCUAGCAAAUCCCAUAAACCGUGGCUCAGUUCAGAUCGUAGGCUGCAACUCGCCUACGUGAAGGAGGAAUCGCUAGUAAUCGCAGGUCAGCAUACUGCGGUGAAUACGUUCCCGGGCCUUGUACACACCGCCCGUCACACCAUGGAAGUUGGCCACGCCCGAAGCCGUUACUCCAACCCUUGUGGAGGAGGAUGUCGAAGGUGGGGCUGAUGACUGGGGUGAAGUCGUAACAAGGUAACC